AGCAGUUACGCUACUAACUAAAUAAAUCCAAAUAAAAUUUCAUCAAAUACCCCUAAAUAAAUCCCGUGUGCGACGCCGUCGAUCGACUUAAGAACGAUAUCUCUCUGCUCACGCGCGAAAACCUCGGCGUUCGAUUUUGUCGAUCCGAAUCGGAACGGCAGUUUUGGUCAGGCUCAGAGCGAACACGCUGUGUUUUUUUUUCCUAAGUGGCGGAUUUGGACGAGAUUUUGGAUAAAAUGGAGCAGAUAUAUCACUAAAAUGAAGGAACAUUAAGACCAUCUUUUUGGAAUAGCGAUAAUAUCAAAACUCAAUUUAUCUUUGGUUUUUUUUUACAUAAAAGAAGUUUAAGGCCAGCGUGUUUCGUCUGUCCAAAUUCCGCCACUUAGACACUUAGUGACUUAGUCACUUAGUUACGUCGUAACUUAGUCACUUUGCAUUCCUUUGCAUAAUUUAUGUCACUUGAAGUAUGUACCAGUAACUGUUAGCAACUUUGCCAUGGUUUACCCAUAGAGCUCGCUGUUUCGUUGGAGAAAACCAGUACCUGACUUCACAACAUUUAGGAUUUUUCAGUAGGACUUGCCCACCACAGCAUCCAACCAGUUUAUCGUGCCAAAAGGACUCUCCUAUGGACUUCAUCUUGAAUUCUUAAA